UACGUAGGUGGCAAGCGUUGUCCGGAUUUACUGGGCGUAAAGAGCGCGCAGGCGGUCGUUCAAGUCGCGUGUGAAAGCCCCCGGCUCAACUGGGGAGGGUCACGCGAUACUGAUCGACUCGAAGGCAGGAGAGGGUAGUGGAAUUCCCGGUGUAGUGGUGAAAUGCGUAGAUAUCGGGAGGAACACCAGUGGCGAAGGCGACUACCUGGCCUGUUCUUGACGCUGAGGCGCGAAAGCGUGGGAGCAAACAGG
rnacentral:rRNA from 1 species